AAGCUCUCCUUGGAAACUUUAUAAUUUAAAAAAAAAAAAACAAAGCCUCCUGAAUCCACAAAUGUUUUUAAAUGAAUUCAGGUCCCAAAUUCCUGGAGUAGGGUGGGGAGGCAGAAGAUGAUGGAAAGUCUUUCAGUGUGUCAAGGGCGCUGGAGCCCUCUCCCACCUCCCAAGCGCUUGCUGACGGGGACACAAGAGCCCUCGCGCAUCUGGGGAAGUGUCUCCUUUUGAAAACGCACGGGUCCUUGUGCUCUGAGUGUUUUGAGUCCGGUCCAUUAUGAGAAAUCUCCUUUUGAGGAUGGACAUAUUCAAAUCCAGAUGCUGUUCUUCCAGAACAAAAAGCGCCCUCCAAACUCUGUGAAGAAAGAGGUUCUCAUCCUUUGAAGGAAUAACAUCUCUUGAUAAGCGGAUUUUUUUCCCCCAGCCAAGAACGUGCUUUUCUGAAUUUGCUAAAACUGGUUUAAUAGCCUGUCCCUGUUCCACGUCUGAUGCCAGGAUGGCAGCAACAAGGUGGAAUGUCACUGGCUGCUGGAUUCAGUAGAUGGAGUAUGGCUUCACUAAGAAGAGGUUGGAUUUUUAAAAUAUACACGGUUUAUUUAGAAGAAUUUCUUUUAAUUCAAGACAUACAUUCUAAUGGGACAAGUGUAAGAUGAAAUAUGGAUUAUCAGAAAAACUUCCCAAAUUGUACAUUUCACUUUGCUGAUUCAAAGAUCUUUGGAUAAUUAAAAAUAAAUUAAAAGAAAAAAGAAGAGUUCCUGUCGUGGAGCAGCAGAAACAAAUCCAACUAGGAACCAUGAGGUUGCAGGUUCGAUCCCUGGCCUUGCUCAGUGGGUUAAGGAUCCAGCAUUGCUGUGAGCUGUGGUGUAGGUCACAGAUGAGGCUUGGAUCCUGCGCUGCUGUGGCGUACGCCGGCAGCUGUAGCUCCAAUUAGAUCCCUAGCCUGGGAACCUCCAUAUGCCAGGGGUCCAGCCCUAGAAAGACAAAAGGCCAGAAAAAAAAGAAAGAAAGGAAAAAAAAGAACCCAUGCCUUAAGAUAAUAAAUAUGUCUGGGAGUUCCCGUCGUGGCGCAGUGGUUAACGAAUCCGACUAGGAACCAUGAGGUUGCGGGUUCGGUCCCUGCCCUUGCUCAGUGGGUUAACGAUCCGGCGUUGCCGUGAGCUGUGGUGUAGGUCGCAGCCGCGGCUCGGAUCAUGCGUUGCUGUGCCUCUGGCGUAGGCUGGUGGCUACACCUCCGAUUCGACCCCUGGGCUGGGAACCUCCAUAUGCCAGGGGUCCAGCCCUAGAAAGACAAAAGGCCAGAAAAAAAAGAAAGAAAAAAAAAAUAUGUCUAUCACCUUUUAAAAAAAAUCCUCAAAUAACAAAUUUUCAGAAAAAAAGAAUGUGAGUUCUCCUUGUGGCUCAGCAAUAGCGAACCCGACUAGUAGACUAGUAUCUAUGAGGAUGACGAUUCGAUGUCUGGCCUUGAUCAGUGGGUUUAGGAUCCAGCGUUGCUGUGGCUGUGGCAUAGGCCAGCAGCUAUAGCUCCCAUUCGAAUCCUAGCCUGGGAACUUCCAUAUGCCAAAGGUGUGGCCCUAAAAAGAAAAAAAAAAAAAAAAAAUUUAAGAAUGACUGAAGAAAAGGGGUUUGCUGGCUCUGUAGAACUGGGGGCUUGGCGUCGGAACUUCAGGUAGGUUUUUAUACAGAAAGAAAGCAAUGUAGGAAGUUCCCAUUGUGGCACAGCAGUAAUGAACCUGACUAGCAUCCAUGCGGACUCAGGUUCAAUCCCUGGCCUCACUCAGUGGUUAAGGGUCUGGUGUUGUUGUCACUGCUGCGGCUUGGGUUGCUGCUAUGGCAUGGGUUCGAUCCCUGGGAACUUGCACUUGCGACAAGCAUGGCAAAAAAAGAAAAUCAAAAACAACCUCAAUGUCUCUCGGUCACAAACUCCAUAAAUAAAUUAUGGUACAUCCUUACAACGGAAUAUUCUCCAGCUGACCAUUUUUUGGUAAUGAAGCAGUAUAACAUACACUGACUGGAAUUACUUCAAAGGUCUAUUACAAAGUAAGAAAAGCGAGGCUCGGUUGGCUAUAUAGAGGGCUUCAUUUGUAUAAAAAUAAAGAGACAAAGCAGGAUAUCUGUGAACAAACAUUUGCUUGUAGCUGCAUAGAUUCUAUCUGGAAAGAUACAUAAGAAACUGCUAACUUCAGUUCCUGGAAAACAAAAUCAUUUGAAGGUCCAUGGAAAGAAGAGUUGGUUGCUAAUCUAAACACACCCAUGCCUUUUGCACCUUUUGCAUUGUGUAUAUAUCACCUGUUCAAAAAAAAAAAUCUAUGUAGAACAUCAAGAUGCCUCUAGUACUUCAAAAACUAACAGUAAAAAGAGAAAAUACAGCCAUUUUAGCUUUUCAUCUUUUGAAAAUAACAACUAUUCAUACCUGAAAUGGGUUAUUUGAGGAAAUGAUAUCUUUUAUCUCUUUGUUUAAAAACAAAGCACAACAUGGGUUUUUAAAAUAACCAGCUAAAUCACAAAAAAAUGAAGCACAGGAUGCAACAAUUCUAAUCUCCCAUGUAUUGAAAGCAAAUAUAUCUAUUUCUUAAUUCUUAUCAUGCAGUUAAAUUUCAAUCUAUAAUGAUAAUUUCAGCAUACAUUCAAUCCCCAAACCAAGACCAACAAGAUAUUUUCAAUUUCUUUGUCUAUAAAUCUGGUUUAUUCAGAAGGGUUUGAAAAGUUCCUGUCAUGGCUCAGUGGUUAUGAACCCGACUAGCAUCCAUGAGGACACCGGUUCAAUCCCUGGCCUUGCUCAGUGGGUUGAGGAUCUGGCAUUGCCAUGAGCUGUGCUGUAGGUCGCAGACACGGCUCAAAUCCCACCUUGCUGUGGCUCUGGAGUAAGCUGGUGGCUGUAUCUCCGAUUUGACCCCUAGUCUGGGAACCUCCAGUGCAGCCCUAAAAAAAAAAAAAAAAAAAAAAAAGUUUUGCAAGGUCUUUGGUGUAAAAACAAUUUGAAUGUUCAAACAUAUUGAUAAAUACAACCUGGGCUCACUGUGUAUGGCUAUGCAAGCUGCAAACUGUACAACUCCAGGGGUUGCUUUUCAGAUCCUAAGUCAAAUUGUGCAGUGCACUACCUGUGCAACUGGGCAUGUCAAUCCUGUGGCUACUGAAAAUGUUGGACACUGUGGAAAGAAAGUUUUUGGGCAGGGGAGGGUAGGUGUCAAAGCUGGGGUCACAUAGAUUGUGAGGCCAGAAUUUCAUACAUCCUAUCUCUCCAGGCUGGCCUCCCUUUUGGAGGCUCUGAAAACAGAAAUAGCCUAAGUUUUCUCUGAGCCUUAUAGCCUUGGUUUUCCUAAGGUUGGGGCCAAGGGACCAUCUGCCAGGGCCUACAAUCACCUCCUCAGCCUGUACAACUCAAAGUCCUCUUUAAUCACUUGGCAGCUGAGAAGGAAGGCCAGAAGAAGGGCCCCCACUGUACCCCCUCAUCUUUAUUCCUACCCUAAUGGAGGCAGAGGCAGUUCGCACAAGGGUAGAGGUGGUGGUGAUGGAACCUUAAGUGAUGUUCUGGACAUUUGGCCUCUGGAACCUGCUCUACCACCACCACCUUUCUGUGUGAUCUUGGCAAAUCUUUAAGCCUCUCUGGGCUUUUCCAUCCCUGUUUGCAAAAUGAAAAGGAUUAUUGCCUGUCUUUCUCUGCCUCUUGGAAAAGCAGACAAGAGAGAAAAACACAAAGUGAAGAUUUCACAGGGAAUGCACAGAAAUUCCAGCAUGCUAAUAAUCACCAUUAAGCCUCAAGAAUUAGGGCCUGAGGGAGUUCCCAUUGUGGCUCAGGAGUAAGGAACCUGACUAGUAUCCAUGAGGAUGUGGGUUCAAUUCCUGGCUUCACCCAGUGGGUUAAGGAUUCGGCGUUGCCCUGAGCUAUCGUGUAGGUGUAGAUGCGGCUCGAAUCGCUCGUUGCUAUGGCUGUGGCAUAGGCUGGCAGCUACAGCUCUGAUUCAACCCCAAGCCUGGGAACUUCCAUAUGCUACACGUGCAGUCCUAUUUAAAAAAAAAAAAAAAAAAAAAAAAAAAAA
rnacentral:lncRNA from 1 species